GGUAUAGUAGCUCAGUUGGUAAGAGUGCGUGCUUAGCAUACAUGAGGCCCUGGGUUCAAUCCCCAGUACCU
rnacentral:tRNA from 1 species